GGCAAUUUUUUCCUCCUCCCCAGCCAGCAGCUAAAAACGAUGAAGAAGAUUUGCUGUAUUGGAGCUGACUACCUCGGCGGCCCGAUGAUGGCGGUCAUCACGCUGAAAUGCCCCGAGAUCGAGGUCGUGGUGGUCGACAUCUCCGUCGUGAGGAUCACCGCCUGGAACAGCGAGACGCUCCUGAUCUACGAGCCCGGGCUCGAUGACGUCGUGAAGCAGUGCCGGGGUCAUAACCUGUUCUUCGACACCGACGUCGAGAAGCACGUUGCCGAGGGCAACAUCAUCUUCGUCUCCGUCAACACCCCUACCAAAACCUGCGGCCUCGGCGCCUGCAAGGCUGCCGACCUCACCUACUGGGAGUCUGCUAUGAGGAUGAUCGCCGACGUGGCGAAAUCCAACAAGAUCGUUGUUGAGAAGUCCACUGUCCCCGUUAAGAUGACGGAAUUAAAGGAUUGGUCAUGUUUUUCUAACACACUUAAUGCUUUCCUUUUCUUUCAAUUAUUUUCGAGAAAUCCCAACCAAAAAUUCUAUGUAUGCUCUUUCUCCAAGUAGCUGGAGGAAGAUGAAAAGAUUGUUUUCAUUCGGCCACUUGCUGCUUUCUUUUCCUUCCUGUUAGUUUUUUUUACACAUCUGAAUUAUGAUGUUACUCUACUCAUUACAAGCUAUGAUUUCCUGAAAGUUCUGACUUAGACUGUUUGAUGAAACCUUAUUUGAAGUUGGAGGAUGGAGAAAUUAAAGAAGAUGAUAGUGGACCAAAAGAUUCUAAGGAAGAACAUAUAUCAGAGGUUGCGGCUGUUCCAACUGGAGAGAAUGGUAAACCUAGGCGAUGAGGAAGAUGGACUAUGAUGUUAUACCGACAGAGUCAAUUCCUAGGAUUUUUCCAAAGAAUGAGGACCCGAGAUUGGUUAAGCGCAACAGAAGAAUGCUCGGACAGCUCCUAGGGACAUUAGAGGCUGAGACUUCUAGACAAUGUGGAGCUGGUGAUGAGGAUGAUGAUGAUCAGGAGGACUGAUUUGUUUUUUAUCUUUGAAAACAAUGAGUGUGUGCUUUAUAAACAAUAUUUAUCAUGGUGUGUGCUGUAUAAAUAAUUUUAAUUAUG